AAGUCGUAACAAGGUUUCCGUAGGUGAACCUGCGGAAGGAUCAUUACAAAUAAAGCUGGUAGGAAGUGGGGUCUCGAUCUGUAAGUGGUAGAGCGAACAGUCCGGCUGCCUCCGAAAUGUCUUACAUGUCCCCACAGCCUGCAGGCCAGCAAUAUCAACCACUUGAUUAUCUACACUUGUUGCUUUGGGUGCUCAAGUAGCCCCAGAGGCAACCCAACCUCAUCUUGCAUUUAGUGACGUCUGAGUACUAUAUAAUAUUUAAAAC
rnacentral:misc_RNA from 1 species